UACAGAGGGUGCAAGCGUUGUUCGGAAUUAUUGGGCGUAAAGAGCUUGUAGGCGGUUUGUCGCGUCUGCUGUGAAAAUCCGGGGCUCAACCCCGGACUUGCAGUGGGUACGGGCAGACUAGAGUGUGGUAGGGGAGACUGGAAUUCCUGGUGUAGCGGUGAAAUGCGCAGAUAUCAGGAGGAACACCGAUGGCGAAAGCAGCUCUCUGGGACGGUACUGACGCUGAGACGCGAAAGCGUGGGGAGCGAACAGG
rnacentral:rRNA from 1 species